GGAGUUUGAUCCUGUGCUCAGAUUGAACUGCUGGCGGCAUGCUUAAGCAGCAUGCAAGUACUGAACGGUAACAGGCAGGGUGCUUGCACCCGCGCUGACCGAGUGGUUGGACGGGUGAGUAACGCGUAGGAAUCUGCCUGGCAGUCUGGGGGACAACCCCGGGAAACCGGGGCUAAUACCGCCAUUAUUUCCCANGGGGGCAAAGACCGGGACCUUUUGCGGAGGCCGGUCGCUGUCCUGGAUGNAGCCCUGCGUUUGGAUUAAGACUUCGUUGGUGGGGGUAAAGGGCCUAUACCACAGGGGCGUAUGUGUAUUCCACUAUGCUGGCGUCCUGAAAGAGGGUGUAAUNACGGCACACNCUUGGGUACUUGGCGGAACCAACGGGGCCCAGGAACUUCCUUAACGGGGAGUGGCAGCAGUGGGGAAUAUUGGGACAAUUGGGCGCAUAGCCUGAUCCAGCAAUGCCGNNGUGUGUGCAAGAAGGCCUUCGGGUUCGUAAAGCUACUUUCAAUCGGGCAAGAAAAGCUGCGCGGUUAACAGCGGCGCGUCUUGACGGUACCGAUACUAAGAAUGCACCGGCUAAUUCCGUGCCAGNAGCCGCGGUACUACGGAGGGUGCCAAGCGUUAAUCGGAAUUACUGNGCGUAAAGCGCACGCAGGCGGUUGGUUACAGUCAGGAUGUUGAAAAGCCCCGGGCUCAACCUUGGGGAACUUGGCAUUUUGAUACUGGCCGACUAAAAAAAGGGUCAAGAAGAAAGGGGGAAUCCCGGGAUUGUUCCCGGGAAAAUUGCGGUAAGAGAUGCGGGAGUGGACCCCUUUUGGCAAAGGGGGGAUUUUGGGGCCAGGUCCUUGGACCGUAUAGGGGCCUAACACNUGGGGGCAACCGGAUUGGAACCGGGGGACCCCAAGGGGGGGGGAUUUCCCAAAACACCUGGGGGGGGGC
rnacentral:rRNA from 1 species